GCCGCAGGCGGCCGGGCCCACCCAGCCGCGGGUUCCGGGCCCGCCCAGCCGCGGGUUCCGGGCCCGCCCAGCCGCG
rnacentral:tRNA from 1 species